rnacentral:tRNA from 1 species
GGGAGGGGAUAGGGUCCGGUGGCUCUACUGGUCUUCAAAACCAGCUUGUCCAUGCAAGUGGAUAGGUGGGUUCGACUCCCACCCUCUCCCGCCA